UAUAUAGAAUGCAUUAUGGGGGGUGAUGAUUGGUGUAUGUACAGAUGGACUUUGCAGAUAUGAGGCGCAUUCAUGGGAUAACAGUUGUAGAAGAGAGGGACAAAUACGUAAAGAAAGCCAAUGCUGUUGUGAUUCAGCUCGGACUUGCUAUUGACAGUAGCAAGGCAACACUAGAUGUGAAAACAAGACUUGCCUGUGAGAUGGUUAAAUACUGGCAGUAGUUGGGGCUGCAGUAAAUUUCAGUAGAAAAGGAUGGAGGCUUGGGGAUUCAUUUUGCAGUUGAUGGUGAUCGCCGAACGGCGGAGAUAAACGAUGCA